rnacentral:rRNA from 1 species
UGGGGAAUAUUGGACAAUGGGCGGAAGCCUGAUCCAGCAAUUCCGCGUGGGUGAAGAAGGUCUUCGGAUUGUAAAGCCCUUUCGGCAGGGACGAUGAUGACGGUACCUGCAGAAGAAGCCCCGGCUAACUUCGUGCCAGCAGCCGCGGUAAUACGAAGGGGGCUAGCGUUGCUCGGAAUGACUGGGCGUAAAGGGCGCGUAGGCGGCACACACAGUCAGGCGUGAAAUUCCUGGGCUUAACCUGGGGGCUGCGUUUGAUACAUGUGAGCUAGAGGAUGGAAGAGGCUCGUGGAAUUCCCAGUGUAGAGGUGAAAUUCGUAGAUAUUGGGAAGAACACCGGUGGCGAAGGCGGCGAGCUGGUCCAUUACUGACGCUGAGGCGCGAAAGCGUGGGGAGCAAACAGGAUUAGAUACCCGUGUAGUCC